CGGCGGCUCCGCGGGCGCCGCGCUCAGCUGCGAGGAGCCCUGCACCUCCUCAAACACCCUCUGCAGACAGAAGGCCCCGCCGCCCUCCGCCGAGGCUGCCUCCCGGCUCUCCUCGGCGGGUUCCGAGGUUCAGAUACAAGAUUGCUCCUUCUCUUAGGAACUUGCUCCUGCUGCCUUCUUUCUCACCAGCAGAGGUCCAGCUAACACACCAAUUUCAAAACUGGAACAAGGGUAAAUCUCUUGCUGUCAGUGUGCCAACAAGAAGUUUUAAAGACUGACUAUGUCUGUGAGUUCAUCUAGAUGUGAUUUCCCUACCAUACCUGAACAGUGGGACUGAUAUGACUGUAUCAGAAACUGGAAGUUGAGAAACACUCAGAGAAUGAAUCAGUAAUGACUGGAGAGGAGCCAUCAGCAGAUGGCCUUACCACAUCACAAGAACUAAGGGCUUUGUGUUCUGCUGAGCCUGCUUCAUCUGGGUGUGUAAGCAGCUCAUUGAAGACAAUAUGAUUUUUAUAUGCCUACAAGCAAGUGUGCUAAACAAUACUUGUGUUCACCCCAUGUCAAUCAAUUGUCUCAAAUUCUCAAGAGACAAUUAGCAGUCAAAUAUCUUGGGUUUUAUAUACAACACACCUUAAGAAAACAGUAGUUAGCCUUUACAGCAGUGACAGUGAGGAAUGAGCUAUGCUGAAUAGGAGGAUGUUUUUACAUUCUGUUAAAUAUUACAUUAAAAUACAUUGGAGAAAUGAAAGGCACAAAAAGAAUAAAAGGUAAUGCUCUAGAUUAAAAAAAAAAAAUUAGCUGGUGUGCAAGAUCAUAAAGCUAACUGUAAAAGUUGUUCACCACAAACUGUUUUGAGGACAAAAUAGAAAAGUUUUUCUGAUACAUUUCACCAUUAUUUCCUAGGUGCUUUUGUUAAAUCUUCGUAGAAAAUAACAGAAGUGGUUAAGUAAUGCUACAAGAACAUUUUGGGUGAUUACCCAGCUGAAAUACCCUUGCCCUCUAAUCAGCUCUCUGCACUUUGAAAGGCAGUUUAAGAAAGAUGUGUGUUAUCAGCAGGAUAGUUUCUUACACUUUUGGUGUGUGAAACUUUGACUUACUGCACAGGUUUUAAAAUCUGUAGAAGUCUUUCCUACAGACUGCAGGUUUGCUUAUGCUUCAUUUAACUUAAAUACAGCUGUUUAACCACGGACCUGAACUUGUAACCCAGCUUUUAUGAUGGUCUUUGGAGAAACAAUGCCAGCGGCAAUAAAGACUGUGUGAGCUUACCUGAGAAAAAGUGACUUGGGCUAACCUGCCACUCAGGCUAAUGUGCACAAAAGCCAGUUCUUGUAGCAUCAAUGACUGCAAGCUGUCACUUUGCUGUAGUUCCACUGCCCUCAUGCCAGGGGGUGUUUGUGUAAAGAGAAGAGCAGACACACAGAAAUCCAGUGAAGCUCAUUAGCAGCACACACAGCACAGCACUGGCUGUCACCCUCAGGAACAUUCUGUCCAGUCUGAACUCUCACACUGUCACUUGGACAUCUUUAUCCAUACAAGGAUAUAUAUUUGUUUUGUUCCUACAGGCAGAUAUGGAUGUUUCCCUAAGGAUGGUGACUGGAUUUGGAAAACAAUAACAAAGGUUUCUAAGAUUUUUACAACAGCUGAUGUCAAUAGCAGAAUCAUUGCAAGUGUGAUACUAGUUUUGAUUUUUCAGAGUAUUUUUAUUACUGUUUAAAUUGUACAAUUUCCACAUUAGAGAACAAUACAUAGUGUACAGUGUACAUAACUUGCAUGGUUCCCAAGUUUUGAAGUCAUGUGCCAAGCUUCAGGCUGCAAAAGAGAGUUCACCAUGCCUAAAAUGAAAGCAGGCACAUAGACACAGUUCUACAUUGCUGCAGCACAAUCUUGUGUGGCAAAUGCAACAUUAUGAGCACCACCUGUCAUUAGGAGACUGCAUGUACCAAAGGGUUAAUGACAUGGAUCCUUAACAUUCUGCCCCUGUAGCAUUUUUUCAUGUCAAAGUGACAUCACUGGAAAAACACAUUAAGCAGUUUAGUCCUUGGUUUUAAAAGUUAGUGGAAGGGUACAGCUAGUGAAACACAUCACAAAAUGAAAUUACAAAUUUGAUAUACAUUUUGCAUAGUUAAAAUUAUGUCUGGGUAACCCUGGUUACUGGAUUUUUAAACACUUUUUCUUCUGGCCUUUGUACUUUUGCUUUGAGCUGAACAGUUGUUUCAAAUUCUCCCUCAUUUAGCGCCCCCCAGUCACUUCAGACACCUUUCCAUUUCUUUGGCUGCUUUCUUUUCAUUAACAUCGUUUAACCUUUUGUAUUCCUCCUACAGCGAUAUGCUGUGCCAGACAUCCACUCCCUUACCUCUGGCUACUUGUGAUUUUUUUCUUCAGCUUUUCCCUCCUCUUCAGUCACCUCCCCUUUCUUCUGUUACUCUUCUCAACAUCUCUAAGCUCUUUCUCAUCUUCAGCCUUUCUGAUUAUCUCUUGAUAGAGAGACAAUGCCACAGGUUUCUCCUUGUUCCAUCCAGUUACUGUUGCUAUUUGCAAUACCACUUCUAAAUCCUUCAAAAGCAAUCACCUCUAAGGGCCUCAUGCUUUCCAUAUUUACACAGGGAAAGUUUUUAAUGGUUUUUUUAUAGUGAAUAGAAGACGAAAAUCCAACUCACUGCCUUGAAUUGGAGCUAGAAAGAAGAAAGCUAAUAGAGGGAAACAGAAUGAAUUACAAUCCCAAUGUAAUAGUGCAUAUUCCCUCUCUUGAACUUGGGGUUGUUUGGGUUUUUUCCCUUUUAGCAUGGAGUUAAACUUCUUCACAGUGUGUCAAUGUAUUGUCAUUGUAAUUUUAUGCUACAGUAAACUUAAGCUUGAUCACA